UAGGGAAUUUUUCACAAUGAGCGAAAGCUUGAUGGAGCAAUGCCGCGUGAACGAUGAAGGUCUUUAAGAUUGUAAAGUUCUUUUAUUUGGGAAGAAUGACUUUAGCAGGUAAUGGCUAGAGUUUGACUGUACCAUUUUGAAUAAGUGACGACUAACUAUGCGCCAGCAGUCGCGGUAAUACAUAGGUCGCAAGCGUUAUCCGGAUUUAUUGGGCGUAAAGCAAGCGCAGGCGGAUUGAAAAGUCUGGUGUUAAAGGCAGCUGCUUAACAGUUGUAUGCAUUGGAAACUAUUAAUCUAGAGUGUGGUAGGGAGUUUUGGAAUUUCAUGUGGAGCGGUGAAAUGCGUAGAUAUAUGAAGGAACACCAGUGGCGAAGGCGAAAACUUAGGCCAUUACUGACGCUUAGGCUUGAAAGUGUGGGGAGCAAAUAGGAUUAGAUACCCUAGUAGUCCACACCGUAAACGAUAGAUACUAGCUGUCGGGGCGAUCCCCUCGGUAGCGAAGUUAACACAUUAAGUAUCUCGCCUGGGUAGUACAUUCGCAGGAAUG
rnacentral:rRNA from 1 species